GAUGAACGCUGGCGGUAUGCUUAACACAUGCAAGUCGAACGGGGUGCAUAGUCUCCUAGUGGCGGACGGGUGAGUAACGCGUGAGAAUCUGGCCUCAGGUCCGGGACAACCACGGGAAACGGUGGCUAAUACCGGAUGUGCCAUAUUGGUGAAAGAUUAAUUGCCUGAGGAUGAGCUCGCGUCUGAUUAGCUAGUUGGUGGGGUAAAGGCUUACCAAGGCGACGAUCAGUAACUGGUCUGAGAGGAUGACCAGUCACACUGGGACUGAGACACGGCCCAGAGUGCUAGGGGAGGACGCAGGGGGGAAGAUUGGACAAUGGGCGGAAGACUGAUCCAGCGAUGGCGCGUGUGUGAAGAAGGUCUUCGGAGUGUAAAGCACUUUAAGUUGGGAGGAAGGGCAGUAAUUUAAUACCUUGCUGUUUUGACGUUACCAAAAGAAUACGCACCGGCUAACUUCGUG
rnacentral:rRNA from 1 species